UUUAGAUUCUCCAGAGGAGACAGAAACUGUUACAGCUGCAGUACUAGGAUCUAUUCUAGCAGUUUCAGUUGUUGUCAACAUUGCAUUUGUUGGCCGUUUACUCCUAAAAAAGAUACGUACAUCUCGCAGAAAACCUAUGGUACAAAAGGCGGAAGAGGCAUUUUAUGAAAAUACUGGGAUUACUGGAAAUGCGAUAGAAAUGGCAGAUAAUAAUGAGACAAAUGGUAACGACGGCACAGUCACUGAACAAGCUUCUCUAAGUGUGUACAUUUCAAAGAAAAGUGAAUAUGAGGAUAUUCGCAAUGUGCAAGAUUCCGAGCAUGAGUAUGGACACAUUUCAACUGCAGCUACAAGU
rnacentral:lncRNA from 1 species